GUCCAGACUCCUACGGGAGGCAGCAGUGGGGAAUAUUGCACAAUGGGGGAAACCCUGAUGCAGCGACGCCGCGUGGAGGAAGAAGGUCUUCGGAUUGUAAACUCCUGUCCUUGGGGACGAUAAUGACGGUACCCAAGGAGGAAGCACCGGCUAACUACGUGCCAGCAGCCGCGGUAAUACGUAGGGGGCAAGCGUUAUCCGGAUUUACUGGGUGUAAAGGGAGCGUAGACGGCCAGACAAGUCUGAAGUGAAAAUCCAGCGCUUAACGUUGGAAGUGCUUUGGAAACUGCCGGGCUGGAGUGCAGGAGGGGCAGGCGGAAUUCCUAGUGUAGCGGUGAAAUGCGUAGAUAUUAGGAGGAACACCAGUGGCGAAGGCGGCCUGCUGGACUGCAACUGACGUUGAGGCUCGAAGGCGUGGGGAGCAAACAGGAUUAGAUACCCGCGUAUG
rnacentral:rRNA from 1 species